rnacentral:rRNA from 1 species
GACGAACGCUGGCGGCGUGCCUAAUACAUGCAAGUCGAACGCAGUGGGGACGGGUGAGUAACACGUGGGUAACCUCCCAUCAGAGGGGAUAAAACUUGGAAACAGGUGCUAAACCGCUACUGAUGGAUGGACUCGCGGUGCAUUAGCUAGUUGGUGGGGUAACGGCUCACCAAGGCCACGAUGCAUAGCCGGCCUGAGAGGGUGACCGGCCACACUGGGACUGAGACACGGCCCAGACGCCUACGGGAGGCAGCAGUGGGGAAUAUUCGGCAAUGGACGAAAGUCUGACCGAGCAACGCCGCGUGAGUGAAGAAGGUUUUCGGGUCGUAAAGCUCUGUUGUUAGGGAAGCGUUAUCUAACCAGAAAGCAACGGCUAACUACGUGCCAGCAGCCGCGGUAAUUC